UACAGAGGGGGCAAGCGUUGUUCGGAAUUACUGGGCGUAAAGGGCGCGUAGGCGGCCUUCUAAGUCGAACGUGAAAUCUCCGGGCCUAACCCGGAAACUGCAUCGGAUACUAUUCGGCUAGAGGGUUGGAGGGGGGACUGGAAUACUUGGUGUAGCAGUGAAAUGCGUAGAUAUCAAGUGGAACACCAGUGGCGAAGGCGAGUCCCUGGACAACUCCUGACACUGAGGCACGAAAGCUAGGGGAGCAAACAGG
rnacentral:rRNA from 1 species